rnacentral:rRNA from 1 species
GAUCUUUAUAUUAUUAUGGUUUUAUAAAUAAAAGAUAAAUUAAUUUUUAAAUUAUAGUAAUAUUAUAUUGGGGUAAUAAUAAAAUUUGUGAAAUUUUUAUUUUUUAAAAACAAUUUUAAUUGAUAAAUUGAUCCAUUAUUAGUGAUUAUAAGUUUAAGUUACCUUAGGGAUAACAGCGUAAUGAUUUUUGAGAGUUCUUAUCGAUAAAAUAGUUUGC